GACGAACGCUGGCGGCGUGCUUAACACAUGCAAGUCGAACGGAAAGGCCCUUCGGGGUCCUCGAGUGGCGAACGGGUGAGUAACACGUGGGUGAUCUGCCCUGCACUUUGGGAUAAGCCUGGGAAACUGGGUCUAAUACCGAAUAGGACCACGCGCUUCAUGGUGUGUGGUGGAAAGCUUUUGCGGUGUGGGAUGGGCCCGCGGCCUAUCAGCUUGUUGGUGGGGUAAUGGCCUACCAAGGCGACGACGGGUAGCCGGCCUGAGAGGGUGACCGGCCACACUGGGACUGAGAUACGGCCCAGACUCCUACGGGAGGCAGCAGUGGGGAAUAUUGCACAAUGGGCGCAAGCCUGAUGCAGCGACGCCGCGUGAGGGAUGACGGCCUUCGGGUUGUAAACCGCUUUCACCAGGGACGAAGCGUAAGUGACGGUACCUGGAGAAGAAGCACCGGCCAACUACGUG
rnacentral:rRNA from 1 species